CCAUGCAGUCGAGGGGUACAGGAGUGCUUGCACUCGCUGACGACCGGCGCACGGGUGCGUAACGCGUAUAGAACCUACCUUUUACUGAGGGAUAGCCUUUAGAAAUGAAGAUUAAUACCUCAUGGUAUUGCAAUUUGGCAUCAGAUUGUAAUUAAAGAUUUAUUGGUAAAAGAUGGCUAUGCGUCUUAUUAGCUAGAUGGUAAGGUAACGGCUUACCAUGGCAACGAUAAGUAGGGGCCCUGAGAGGGGGAUCCCCCACACUGGUACUGAGACACGGACCAGACUCCUACGGGAGGCAGCAGUGAGGAAUAUUGGGCAAUGGAGGCAACUCUGACCCAGCCAUGCCGCGUGCAGGAAGACUGCCCUAUGGGUUGUAAACUGCUUUUAUACAGGAAGAAACACACCUACGUGUAGGUGCUUGACGGUACUGUAAGAAUAAGCACCGGCUAACUCCGUGCCAGCCGCCCCGGG
rnacentral:rRNA from 1 species